rnacentral:rRNA from 1 species
GUGCCAGCAGCCGCGGUAAUUUAGCUCCAAUAGCGUAUAUUAAAGUUGUUGUGGUUAAAAAGCUCGAAGGUGAACCUUGGGCCUGGCUGGCCGGUCCGCCUCACCGCGUGCACUGGUCCGGCCGGGCCUUUCCCUUUCUGGGACCCCAUACCCUUCACUGGGCGUGGCGGGGAAACAGGACAUUUACUUUGAAAAAAUUAGAGUGCUCCAGGCAGGCCUAUGCUCGAAUACAUUAGCAUGGAAUAAUAAAAUAGGACGCGCGGUUCUAUUUUGUUGGUUUAUAGGACCGCCGUAAUGAUUAAUAGGGACAGUCGGGGGCAUCAGUAUUCAACUGUCAGAGGUGAAAUUCUUGGAUCAGUUGAAGACUAACUACUGCGAAAGCAUUUGCCAAGGAUGUUUUCAUUAAUCAGGAACGAAAGUUAGGGGAUCGAAGACGAUCAGAUACCGUCGUAGUCUUAACCAUAAACUAUGCCGACUAGGGAUCGGACGGUGUUAUUCAUGACCCGUUUCGGCACCUUACGAGAAAUCAAAGUGCUUUGGGCUCCAGGGGGAGUAUGGUCGCAAGGCUGAAACUUUAAAGAAAUUUGACGGAAGGGCACCACCAGGGGUGGAAGCCUGCGGCUUAAUUUUGACUCAACACGGGGAAACUCACCAGGUCCAGACACAAAUAAGGAUUGACAGAAUUGAGAGCUUCUUUUCUUUGAUUUUGUGGGGUGGUGGGUGCAUGGCCCGUUCUUAGAUGGUGGGGGUGGACUAUGUCUUGCUUUAUUUGCGAUAACGAAACGAGACUUUAACUGCUAAAAUAGCCGCAUUUGCUUCCGGGCAGUGCGCUUGGCUUUCUUAAGAGAGGAACUUUCGGCUCAAGCCGA